GUGCCAGCAGCCGCGGUAAUACGUAGGGUGCGAGCGUUGUCCGGAAUUAUUGGGCGUAAAGGGCUCGUAGGCGGUUUGUCGCGUCGGGAGUGAAAACUCAGGGCUUAACCCUGAGCCUGCUUCCGAUACGGGCAGACUAGAGGUAUGCAGGGGAGAACGGAAUUCCUGGUGUAGCGGUGAAAUGCGCAGAUAUCAGGAGGAACACCGGUGGCGAAGGCGGUUCUCUGGGCAUUACCUGACGCUGAGGAGCGAAAGUGUGGGGAGCGAACAGGAUUAGAUACCCUGGUAGUCC
rnacentral:rRNA from 1 species